rnacentral:rRNA from 1 species
CCUACGGGAGGCAGCAGUGGGGAAUCUUGGACAAUGGGCGCAACCUGAUCCAGCCAUGCCGCGUGAGUGAAGAAGGCCUUCGGGUUGUAAAGCUCUUUUACCAGGGACGCGGUACCUGGAGAAUAAGCCCCGGCAAACUUCGUGCCAGCAGCCGCGGUAAUACGAAGGGGGCUAGCGUUGUUCGGAAUUACUGGGCGUAAAGCGCACGUAGGCGGAUUGUUAAGUCAGAGGUGAAAUCCCGGAGCUCAACUCGGAACUGCCUUUGAUACUGGCAAUCUAGAGUCCGGAAGAGGUUAGUGGAAUUCCCAGUGUAGAGGUGAAAUUCGUAGAUAUUGGGAAGAACACCAGUGGCGAAGGCGGCUAACUGGUCGGACUGACGCUGAGGUGCGAAACGUGGGGAGCAAACAGGAUUAGAUACCCUUGUAGUC